CUUAUGAGACACGUGUCUGUCAUUCAUCGCGUCUCUUUCUCUCUCUCUCUCUCGAUGGAAUCAUUAUGUGUAUCUCUUGCUCUCCUCGACAGACCGGAAAAGGAGAGACAGGAAGAAUCAAACCUCUGAAUCUCUCAGAAGACGGAAGAGAACGAUGAAGAAGCAGACGAUUUACUCAUGUGGAGCAACGAUUGUUAUCUUCCUCGUCUGAUGAUCAUCACUCCCAGCAUCCCUCAGUCUCAAGCCUAUCAUGAUUUCGCCGAUCAACGAUCCUUCUUCGGAUUGAUGAACACAAGGGAAAUUACAGAAAGCUAUGAUGGGUUUUUCACCACCGUGGAGUCCCUCAUUGACGGCACCGGAGACUUCUCAGUCGAGAAGGAGUUCAUGUCUCAUGUUUCUACUCUCUGCAACAAGCUUUUGAGAAGAGCGGUGCAUUGAGUUUUUCGCAUCAUUUUGAUGAUUGCAGCGAUAAGAACCAUACUAUAAGAUUACGAAGAAGAGAUUCACCAAGUGUUGUGCAAGGCUUUGGAAGAAAUUUCUAUAGAGAAGCAGUACCAUGACAAGUGUAUGUCCAUGGAAACACUCGCCUUUACGUUGGUCGCUUGUCAUCUAGAACUCGUACCAGAGACCUUGAGCGUCUUUUCAGCAGAUACGGAAGUUGGCCUAUUUGUGAUUGCUUGAUUGCUUUCCACUCCUCUGGAUAUUCUCUUGAGAAAGUUCAAGCAUAUUAUUCAGUUGCGUAAAGGAUAAGUCUUGAGUCUGUUCAUGUUAAAGUAUGCAACUUUGGUUUAAGAUCCUAUAUGGUUUGGGAAUAUAGUAAUCUUUAGUGCAGUGGCUGAUUAUCCUUAGUAAAAUAUAAUGAGUGAUCACAUGAUUUGUACUUGUAUUUGAAUCUAGCAUUGAAGCCUUAAUGAGUGAAUCAGAUGAUUAUCCUUAAUAAAUUUUUUAAGAACCCUUAAUUAAGAGACUAGCACUGAAGCACAAAAACUAUAUGUUUCUUAACUAAAGUUCUUAACUAUUAUUUAUUAUUAAAAAAAUCACUAAGAAACCAUAAUGAGGUUGUAUGGUUAAUCAUGCUUUAAAGCUCUUGUCGCAAUUGUAAAUAUAAUUCAAUAGAAAGGUGAUUUUUACACAGCCUAAAGUGAAUAUUUAUACUAACGAUAGAAGAUCGUAUAUAAUCAAUAUUCUUAUUCUCCUAAGUCCUAAGUACAAGGAUUAAUAAUUAUCCUAAAGAAUAAUAAAAGAAAAUCCAACUAAUAAAUAAAAUAGGAAACACGUAAAACAUUUUUACGAAGUCAUAACCUACGCUGCAUCAUAUAUUAAUUUUCGUACUUGAUAAAUUGUUAGUGUGAUAGAUAUACGAGGAUCCCAGGCAUCACUAAUUUACCAGUUCCUAAAUUUUAUCGAGUUUUCAAGUAUAGAGAAGAGAAGCAUGGGUUGUUCGUUAGUUUAAUGGUAAUUAAUAUUUAGAAACUGAAUUUAGAACUAAUGUGGUUGAUGUUAAUUAUCUUGUUUCAACAUUGGAUUAAGAGAACUGUUUUGGUAGCUUAAACACUAUGUCAUAUGAACUUGAAACAGCACACUAAACUUUCUUGAUUUGAUCUGACCCAAGAUCUUGUCUGUUUUACCGCAACGUAUCCAAAGAUUCCUUAUGGUCUAACUCAUUAAACGACAUCAUCCUAAAAGAAGGGGCCCACAAACAACAUGACCAAAAUCAAGCGGGUGGGAUGAUUAAACGGAUGAUACCAUUCUUGCUGAUUAUUUUGAUCUGACGAAUAGGAAUGUCAAUAGGAUUGGAGAGCAUAGCCACUUCACCAGAGUAGAACCGGCCACCUGAGUCGUGACUAACGGCAGGAGCGUCACCAGUCACCAUCACCAUCCCACUCUUGACGGAGACUGUGAACCUCUCUUUGGGAACGCCUGGCAUGUCUACACGAACGUAGAGGCAUCCGUUUUGGAGCUGCUUCGACUCAUAAGCCAUCAAAGAUCCUUGCUUCACCCAUGGGUGUGGCUGCAGUACCCGACCCGUCAACACCGGAUCUGCUCUUCCACAGAAAACAACAAAUUAAAUAUUAUAUAUUCCCUUUACAACAACCAAUUAAAGUCCACGUAAGCAUGUGGAUACCAUGUGGAUCCGUGCCAUAAGUAACUUUGUGAGAACCAGUCCAAGCGUGAUCUUUGACCACAACUAGAAAUAAAACAAACAAUAUAGAGUUAAUUAGUCAA